rnacentral:rRNA from 1 species
UACGUAGGGUGCGAGCGUUGUCCGGAAUUAUUGGGCGUAAAGAGCUCGUAGGCGGUCUGUCGCGUCGGUCGUGAAAACUUGGGGCUUAACCCUGAGCUUGCGGUCGAUACGGGCAUGACUGGAGUUCGGCAGGGGAGACUGGAAUUCCUGGUGUAGCGGUGAAAUGCGCAGAUAUCAGGAGGAACACCGUGGCGAAGGCGGGUCUCGUGGGCCGAUACUGACGCUGAGGAGCGAAAGCGUGGGGAGCGAACAGGA